UCCCUGGUGGUUCAGUGGCUGAGACCUCGUGCUCCCAAUGCAGGGGGCCCAGGUUUGAUCCCUGGUCAGGGAA
rnacentral:tRNA from 1 species